GUUAUCCGGAAUUAUUGGGCGUAAAGCGUUUGUAGGUGGGUAAGCAAGUCGGUUGUUAAAUCUAGAAGCUCAACUUCUAAUCAGCAAUCUGAAACUGCUUAUCUUGAGGGUGGUAGGGGUAGAGGGAAUUCCUAGUGUAGCGGUGAAAUGCGUAGAUAUUAGGAAGAACACCAACGGCGAAGGCACUCUGCUGGGCCACACCUGACACUGAGAAACGAAAGCUAGGGGAGCGAACGGGAUUAGAUACCCCGGUAGUCCUAGCCGUAAACGAUGGAUACUAGAGGAUACGCGUAUCGACCCGUGUAUACUCGCAGUUCACACAGUAAGUAUCCCGCCUGGGGAGUAUGCUCGCAAGGGUGAAACUCAAAGGAAUUGACGGGGGCCCGCACAAGCGGUGGAGCAUGUGGUUUAAUUCGAUGCAACGCGAAGAACCUUACCAAAAUUUGACAUAUCAUUUUUAGCUUUUGUAAUGAAAGCAUGUCUUCGGAACUAUGAAUACAGGUGGUGCAUGGCU
rnacentral:rRNA from 1 species